rnacentral:rRNA from 1 species
UUAAAAAGCUCGUAGUUGGAUUCCGGAGUGGGCCAGUUGGUCCGCCGCAAGGUGUGUUACUGACUGGUUUGCUCUUCUUCGCAAAGACUGCGUGUGCUCUUUGUUGAGUGUGCGUAGGAUUUACGACGUUUACUUUGAAAAAAUUAGAGUGUUCAAAGCAGGCUAUUGCUUGAAUACAUGAGCAUGGAAUAAUGGAAUAGGACUUUGGUCCCAUUUUGUUGGUUUCUAGGACCGAAGUAAUGAUUAAGAGGGACAAUUGGGGGCAUCCGUAUUUCGUUGUCAGAGGUGAAAUUCUUGGAUUUACGAAAGACGAACAACUGCGAAAGCACUUGCCAAGAGUGUUUUCAUUAAUCAAGAACGAAAGUUAGAGGAUCGAAGACGAUCAGAUACCGUCCUAGUUCUAACCAUAAACGAUGUCGACUAGGGAUCAGCGGGCGUUAUCGUACGACCC